AAAAUACUCUCUCCAUCCGAAAAAGCUUGUCCCAAACUUGUCCCUCAAAUGGAUGUAUCUAGCAUUAACUUGGUGCUAGAUACAUCCAUUUGAGGGACAAACUUUUUCGGACUAAGGGAGUACAAU
rfam:Triticum aestivum genome assembly, contig: Triticum_aestivum_CS42_TGACv1_scaffold_030323_1BL